CAGAGGCUGACACUCCGCAGUCUGCCCAGACGGGGGAGGGCGAUGGAGCACCAGCACACUUCACCCCGCUUUCUGACGGCUCACUCCGUGUGGCCACACCCACUUGCUGCGGCGCCUUCCCUGCGCCAUAGACCGUGUCUCUGAAGCCUUUCCCCCACACAUUGCUUUUUAUUAGGUCGCGGUCACGAGGAAAGUGAGCAACACAGUAGGCACGCCGGUUGGUCACACUUGUAAUCUCAGUACGCUCAAGAGCUCUUGACUAGUCCUAGCUGUGCUCUUCCCAGAGCUGGGGAAAAGAAAGACUAAGGAAGGAAGGAAUGAGCCGCAAUCCCAGCACUUGCCAAGCGGAGCCAGGGGAUCAGGAACUCAAGCCCAGCUUCAUCGCCAGAGUGUGUUCUAGACCACCCUGAGAUUUCACAGGUCUUAAAAAAGAAAGCCAGUGUCGCAAUGCUAUGAGAACCCUGAAAUCCAGUGAGGAAGACGGGAGAUGUGCACGCUGCCCUGUCUCGCACGUCUCGUCCUCUUUGAUCCGUGUCAAAGCAUUGCGCACGAACACGGGGCUUCCCCCUGCAAUCGCUUCUAACAUGAUGACCUCCCCUCUCCAGCCAGUAUUUCCCAGGCGCUCCCCCACCUGGCAGGGCUGGGAAGCGCCUCUCUUACCAGGUGUUUCUGCUGGGUUCCCACCCACCGCUCAGGCAGUUGAUCAAUCCCAGGUUCUGAAUGUUUGGAAGCUUUUCAUCUUCAAGGCAGUCACAGCUGCCUCGGAGGGGCAGGGCGAGAAGUAUUCUUAAGCCCAGGAAAGAGAAACCAUAGAUUUUGCAGAAGUACCGUGGGAGUUGGACUCCACCUCCAAGUAAGAGCUUUCAGAGUGAAAAGGAAGCAAAACUUCAAACACAAGAAGCAAGAAGGCUCAAAGCUCAGCUUUAAGGACCUGAUCUCUUGCUAAGGGGUUGGAACUUCCUUUUCAGCUGGAGUUUCAGGCUUUUUGAAGCUCUUUGAUUUCAGUUUCUUAACAAAAAAAAAUAUACAUAUAAAUACAAAAUAUAAAAACACAAAAAUAUACAUCUACAAAUAUGUGUAUUUGUACAAUAGUUACCACGUACUUGGCAAUGUGAAUUCCUGCAGAUACACACGAAUAAAUCACUUGUUUGUACAUAUGUCUAUGGGGCCAGAUUCUAGGCUACGUAUCAUAUUGAGGAGUUUACAAGUUUACAGUUUAAUGAAAGACAGUCAGGAAAAUAAAUAAGCGGGUUACAAAUUGAUAACUAUGCAUAGCAUUCUGUGGGGGCCCAAAUAUGAUAUUUCGAUAUAAGCCUCAGCUCAAUUCCAGACACUCGAGUCUCCUAUUGUCUUUUAGAUGUCAACUGGUUACUUCCGGAUGGCCUGGCCACAGUGGAGAAUGACUUCUAGUGUGCGUAGCAAUAGACCUAGGCCCCACACCCAUCAUGAGGGCCAGUGAGACAGACCCAAAGACUCAUGAGCUGUUCAUUACAGCAAGACAUGCAUUACGGGAGGUCUGAGGGCUUGUGUACGUGCAUUCUAGGACCAUUUCUAGGGUUAAAGGUUUUCUAGUCAGCCUUAUACACAUGAUAAUAGACGUCUUCUGCCCAUACCCCGGCUUUUAGAAAGCUAUUUAAGAGGAUGCUUGAAUAAACCCGUGUCUGCAGUAUGGGCUGAAAUGACAAGAUGACUCUGUCUUGUUCUUGACGCCGUUGGGUAGCCAGGACUUCCCUGAUCCACACUCCCCCGCUCAGGGUGGAACCCGGGGCUGUUGGGCUGGUUCGGAACACAGCCCCAAAGACAUCAGUCUGGGAUAGAUGGCCCCUGCAGCGUAGGACUGAUACAGGCCGGACCCCGGCAGCAUUCCCAGUGUGAUUCCCACCAAAGGGGACACGAGUUACUGAAAGACACUCACCCAAGGCAUAAUUAGAUGAGCAGAGUGGUGCGGACCUUUAAAGGGAGAACUGUGUGUGAAAAGACGUGAGAACACAAGGAGAGAAAACGUAGAAUACUUGCUUUCGACUCUUUUCUGCUCACCACUGACAUGAAGAAAGACAGGAAGGCUGCCCCGCUUCGUGUCAUGGAAGCCUUCCACUGGGCCUCCCUGCCUCUGGCCGUAGGUCUGUCUAAUCAGUCCUGUAUAUUUUCCCAGAUUAGUAUCGUUCCGAUAGCACACUUUCGUGGAGGUGCUUUUUGUUUGCUUGUUUUCAGACGGUGUCAUGGUGUGUGCCCAGGCUUGCCUGGAGCUCAGGAUCCUCCUGCAUCCUCCUCCUGAGUGCUGGGAGACAGGUGUAUACCACCCUGCUCCCUUUGACUAAGCACCACAGAGCAGCGGGGUUUAACCACUGUGGUUUGAGCAUUUCCCCAUAGGCUUGAGUGUUUGAAUCUGGGCCCCAGCUGGUGGGACUGCUUGGGAGAGCCAUGGAACCUUCAGGAGGUGGAGAUUCGCUAGAGGAAGUGGGUCGGUGUGAGUGGGGCUUGAGGUUCACACACAGCCCAUUUCUUGUUGCUCUGUGGCUCCUGACGAAGAUAAUUAUAACUAGACUACUCCUGCCCAUUGUGCCCCCCUCCCGACAAAAUGACUUAAGCUGCGAGCUAAAGUAAACCCUUCCUCUAUUAAAUUGAUUCUUCUUGGGUUUUAGUCACAGAAACAAGGCAAGUAACUAAUGAUAUCUGUAGUCAUGAUUACUCAAAGAAAACUUGCUUUAAAAUGCUUUAAAGAGACUGGAGAAAUGGUCCAGUGGUCAGGAGGGCGUGCUGCUUUGCAGAGGACCUGAGUUCAGUUCCCAGUACUUUAUCAGGUAGUUCACAACCUCCUGUAACUCCAUCUCCAUGAAGAACCUGAUGUCUUUGGCUUCUUUGAAUAAUAACAUUCAUGUGUCUCCCUGACCCCAUACACGCCUUUAGAAAGUCUUUAAAAAUAGCUUUUAAGCUUAGUUUUUUUCUUUGACAAUGCCAUAAACACACACACACACUACAUUCUGAUCACACUCAUGCCUCCACCCUCUCUUUUUUAAACUCACUAUUUAGUGUAUGUUUUUGCACACAUGUACACACACACAUGCGUGUGCACGGGUUUGUGCCACGGUGCAUUUGUGGAGAUCAGAGGCCAAUUUGUAAGAGCUGGUUUUCCCCCUCUAUUUUGUAGCUCCCCAGGAGUCACCCAGAUAACCCGGCUUGAUGGUAAACUCCUGUAUCUGUGGAAACAUCUCAGUAGCCCCUCUUUACUCCCGCCAUCUCCCCCUUCCCACCACCAGGCCCUUCCGCAUGAGCCCUUCAAAUUUGGUUUUGUUUGAACUCUGUAAUGCCUGAAUGCUCAUGUGGGGGUGGGUAUGAAGUUAUCUGCUGGAGCAUGAGUGACUCACAAUGACUACAUCCACUGAAGACAACGCCUUCUCCAGCAAGCCAUCAAUUAUGAUCAGCUCCCUUGAGCCUCUCCCCAUCUGCGCCUGAAUGUUUAUGGGCUCAGUCUUAGGCAGCCCUUAUCAAGCAAGCAGCCAUGGAUGUUGUGAGUUCAGGCAUGCCAUGGCCUAGUUGCGUCUGUAAGACGGCAUUACAUGGUCAUCAUCAUCAUCAUCACCAUCAUCAUCAGCACCACCAUCAUCACCCAGCUGUCACAUUCAUUUCUCCCCACUCUCUCUUGAUGGUUUCUGAGCCUUGCAGAGGAUGAUAUAGGUGGUCCAGCACUUGAUGACACCUUGACCGACCUUGAGUCUCCAUUAAUUGUCAUUGGAUGUGAUUUUGUCUUUCUCCAGGAGCUUACAACACACUUUCUUUGUUCUGUAUGUUCUGUGUUUCAACCAUGAUGUACUGACUCCGCCCUUCUUCAUCCCUGAAUCCUCAGUUUGACUGUCUCUCCUAACUUUAUCCUGCCUUGCUACAGGUCAAUUAACUUCUUAAUUAACCAGUGAGAGUAAUGCGUAUUCACAGUAUGCGAAGGAUUGUGCCACAGCAGCCCCCUUCAAGAUGGAAGAGGACUAGAACCGGGAGUCCUCUAACUGGACUCUGAGUCGGAUGUUCUAUGGGCUGUUUUCCCUAUUGGUCCUGCUUAGACACCCACCCCACCCUUCUCAUCAUCUCUCCUCACAGUAUCUUCCAGGAACAGGAAAUCAUUGCGGCAGGGAGCCUGCUCUCACUUUCCUAGUCUACCUGAGGGGCUAUGAGCGAGAUUCCCUGCUAGGCAGACAGAGGAGGAGAGGGGCCGUGAUGACAAAGACGGUGAGCUUCAAAGAUACUGAUGUGAGACCAAAAGCCUAAGGCAGAGGCCGGGAAGGCUUUCUCCCUACAGCAGUGCCCCCACUGAUGGAAUUGACCUGAGAAGGGUGGGCCAGGACAUGUUGGCCCCAAAGUUGCAAGCCUAUCCGCUACGCUCUCUUUAAUCAAACUGACCUAAGUUAGGGAAGGAGGGCCCCCCAGUCCCUUCAAAGCCCCAGUCCUCGAGGAGAGGCUGAACCUCCAGGUUCCUAAGUGCCCUCUCUGCUUUGCAGUAGAUCUUUCCUCUGUGAGUCUGUUGUGCAUGCUUACCUGUGUUCCCUCACCCCGAACAAAAGCCUUUCCUGACCCUGUGACCCUGUCUUCUCUAGCUGAAGAUCUCACUGCUCUUAUCUGUUGCAGGGGAAAUUUUUCCCCCAGCCUUUCAAUUCAGAGAAAAUGAACCCGAUCCAGACAGUGACAUGUCUAUGUUCCCGUCUUUCAUCCCCUGGAGGCUUUCUUUGACUUACUUAGUAUUUUCUUUUCAUAAUCAUUUCAGUUUGGGGGUUUUGUUCAGUAUUAUUGGCUCUUUUCUGAAUUACGGUUUCAUAUCCCAAAUUUGACUUCUUUUUUUGUUUGUUUGUUUUUUGUUUUAAAGAUUUAUUUAUUAUGUAUACAGUAUUCUGCCUGCAUGUAUGCCUGCAGGCCAGAAGAGGGCACCAGAUCUCAUUAUAGACCUUUGCGAGCCACCAUAUGGCUUCUGGGAAUUGUUGCCCUUAACCUCUGAGCCAUCUGUCCAGCCCAUCUGGUCAAAUUUAACUUCUUUGUGUCGUUCAGAUAUCCGUAUUCUCCCAGAAUUCAUCCAGGAAGAAGGAGCAUGUCUUUGCUGAGUAGAGCCGCUCCUCAGGCAGCCAGGAGGCUUGGACCUGCCUCGUCCUGUUGCUACCUUACUAGGACAAUGUCACUGCUUGGCCAGCAGGCUGACGCACAGCAUGGCGCUGUUGCUACUGCUACUUCAGGGGUACAGGACCAAGGGCAGAGUGGUGUACAGUAGCCUGGAGCUUUCCCAGGUUCUGCCCUUGGACACACUGCUCAACCACAAGAUCCUGACUCUGAGCAGCAACAAGGUAUCCCAGAUGCAGAAUGCUUCACUUUCUGGGUUGUCCUUCAGAAGACGGCGGUGACCAAUGCUGCAGCCAGAGACCAUGAUGGCGUUCGUUCACGAUCUGUGCUGUCACAGAAGCCACACUGACGUCCUUAAUCUGUAUUGCUGUUAGAAACCGUGUUGAUGUCUGUGAUCCAGGCUGCCACCAGCUUCUGUGGAUAGGGGAGGCAUCUUUUGCAGUCGUAUUGAAGACUGCACACUCAGAAACUGAAAAUGAGUCAUGUUUAAGGCUGGUGUGACAACCCCCCCUACACACACACACCAAAAAGAAACAAUGUAGACAUGAAGCUACUGAAGAGAGUCCUUAAAAUUGUGAUAAAGAUGCUGAAGGAUAGCUCUUCACAGUUGAUGGCUUCUGCAUGUGUACACACACACACACACACACUGGGGGUGGGGGGCACAAUGCUAAACUCUCUUCUUUAAGGGGCUGACCACCGGGAGUUUGAUCAUGCUCCAAUGAGUGUGUGGACAGCACAGAUUGCACUUGGUUUUUCUCUGGGGGAGGGCACAAGUGUGGGAAGGUGAACCAGGAAGGAAUGGACUGUGAUCAGCGUGAAUUGUAUGAAAUUCCCAAAUAAUUAAUAAGAGCAUUAUGUUGGGGAAGAAAAUAAUUCACUCCGGAGUUUGUGUCUUCUUUGAGCAUGUUUUAGUUGUUUUGAAUUUUUGGUCUGGAUUUUCAUUUAAGUUCUUAGAGGUUCCUGGAUGUUAGAAGUUUUUGGAUCAUGCCAGACAGUGGUAGUGCACACCUUUAAUCCCAGCAUUUAGGAGGCAGAGGCAGAGGCAGGUGAAUCUCAGUGAGUUCAAGAGCAGCCUAGUCUAAAAAGUGAGUUCCAGGACAGCCAGGGCUGUUACACAAAGAAACCCUGUCUUGAAAACAAAACAACAACAGAAGAAAAAAAAGAAGAAAGAAAAGGAGACCCUGUUGUCAUGGAUUUCCAUGUUAAAUUGUGUUUCUCACUGAGCUCUUCCGGUUUGGGGUUAGAUUGUUGGUUAUAUUUUUGGUGUUUUAGCUCAGGUAGCCUUCUUCCUCUCAGAGAAGGUGCUUCCAAGUUCAGGAGAGUCUAGGCUGUGGGAUUGUUGAGGUGUUGGUUUCCUUUUAAGCUGGUGGGUAAGGCUCUUUCCCCAGACCUUGCGGCUUGAGAACUGUUUCCAACAAGAAUCACUGCAGUAGACCCACCUUGAAACUGGGUAAGUGAUUGCUUCCACACAGUUACUCCUUCAGUACCAAGUGUCCUUGGCAAGUAAGGAACAUUAAAUAUUAGCCUUUUUGUCAAACACCGUAAAGCUUUUGUGUAUGCCAAGGAGUUUAAAUCUUUUGCUCUCCCCUACCCGGUAAAACUACUGUUUAUACAAAGACCCUGCUGGACUCUCGGAUCUUGAGAUGUCUGUCCAUACUUGCUUCCCUUUGUUUCCUUUUCAGACUAAGCAACCAUGGAAGGCUGAGGCUGGAGCUCAGCCAGCGGGACAAGGACAAGCCUCUCUUGCGUUAAGAUGAAAGCACGUGAGUCUCUUACUCAGCCGGUUUGCUCUCCCACUUCGGUGAGCAGCUCCGCCUUGUACAAGGCUUCCGUUGGGUUGGUGACGCUUUCUUUUGGACCCUAGGCUGGCUUCUAACUGUGUGUGCUAGUCUCUUUGUUCCUGCAGAUCUGACCGGGGAAAAUAAAGAAAAAGCAGCAAGAAAUCACGGCGGGAUCAAUGAUUAGUAUUAGGUUGUUAGAUAGGAAGCAGAAAAAGGGUAUGUCCCUAGAGGGGUACGGAGGGGUACGGGCAAAAAGAAAUCGUGAGGGAGUCUUAGUCAAAGAUUGAAAGACAGGGGUGAAGAUACACCUUCAGACACUGUAGACCAGUGUCGUCCCUCGGAAGUUGAGUCAUCAAGGCCCUACAUACCAGGAUAGGUGGAAGGAAAAGAAAGAGUUUGGGGUAAAGAGAAGGAAAAAAAGACACAAACCUUAUGAUGGGCUAGGGGCGGACAGAUCCCUGUCAGACAGACAAGGAAAGGGACCACUGCUAGACAGCAAAGAAAGCAAGGGCCCAACUUCUUCCUGUCUUCUCUGAUCCGAGGCCAAGUCCCCCAAGGCAUGUUCUCCCCACGCUGGGACCCCUUACAGAUGACUGGUCAGACCCCGUCAAGGCCGGUGCUAAACAUGUACCCGAGGCUAUGCAGCUCUCCUUUCUUUGUUUCAACUGAUUAAUGAAAAACCGAGGGGAAAGUGUGGGACGGACACACACACACACACACACACACACACACACACACACACACGCACGCACGCACGCACGCACGCACGCACGCGUUAGAAAAAAGUAACAAAAGCCAAGUCACACCUGAGAACUGAGAACCCCGUAGUUAAUCCUUCAGCGUUCAGAGCAGUCCACACAGCUGUCUCUCACUGAGGAAGGGGAAGGGUUAACAACCAGUAACUACUCAGUCCAUAGGACCGCAGAAGUCCCAGUCUGGUGCUGGGAGUUCAAAAGGUUCCUGGAGAGCAGCUGGUCCCUGGUUCACUAGGGAAGCUUGGGAAUUCUGGUUCCUUUUUUGGGGGGGCGGGAAUUCUGGUUCUUAUAGCAGUGAAGACACAACAGGGCAAAUUAGUUCAGCAGAGAGAGCAAGGGCCAGUCGAGGGGGCCGUCGAGCGGGAAGUGAGAGCUGCUUUUGGCCGUUUCCCUUCUAUCUGAGCUGCUAUCAGAAGAUGUCACCCACAGUCCGGAAGAGUCCUCCACAUCCACAGGGCGGUCAGGACGCUUCCUUCAGAGAGGCUUCUAGUUCAGGUGAUUCUAGUGUGUGGCAAGUUGACAUUAAAACAACCAUAAUAGAGGAUGAUCCAUCCAAGGCCAUCAGAGCCACUUAAAACCCCAGGGCCUCCAGAGGACAAUGGACCUGCCCCCCUCUGCUCUUCAGGGAGUUUUUCUUUCUGGGCCCCUCCCCACCUUUUAAUAAAGUUUGUUGUUGCCUA